UGGGGACCCCGCAGCCUCCCCACCAGAUGGAUGUCCAUCCAAGUGUGC
rnacentral:ncRNA from 1 species